GAGAGAGAGAGACACACUCCAUCGCCUACUUCAAGGCUUGUUGACGCGUAGGCUUGUCGUAACUUAAAGACGAGACUUCAGACUUUGUAGAUUGAUUUUAUUGAACCAAUUCACCUUGACCAAUAGUCAAAUAUCAAAGUGGUCCUUAAUAAUAGCUUCUAAUGAAAAAUCAAGAGAUCCUCUCACGUUUUUUUUUCACGUUCUUGGUUCUGUCUUCUGUCUUAUAGCUGUUCUCGAAUCAAAUAUUAAAGUAACUUUACUUUCCAUCUCUGAUUCUAAGGAACACCGUCCUUGUCCUAUUGAAAAGAAUUCACUGUCGUUAACCAUCUAUAUAAUGGUCUCCAAACAUACAAUUUAUGCAUCUUUUACAAGUUUGAUGAAUUAAAGUCGAUCAUCCUUUCUAAGUUGGGGCAAUUUUGGUUCCUUUUAUUGUUUUCAUGUAAGCUUCAUUGUUCUGUAAUUCUCUGAACUUGGUGUGCUUCAGUUUUAAUACGCAGUCAGAGUUGGAAGCAGUUUUGUGUGUUCAAAAUUUAUGUGUUGUGCCUUUUUAUUUUUUUUAUCUAACUGCAAACUUUUUCAGCUUUAAUUUGCGUGUCUGCAAUAGAAAAUUCACAUCUCGUUGUAAGAGUCCAAAAUGCGAGCCACUUGAUUCUACCAAAACUAGACUUAGAGAACCACAACGUAUCAAAAAUAGUGAAACCCCUCCUGGAUCAGCUGGAAUUAUGUUUUGAAGUUGAUCUACACGUUUGGCCUGUUGUAAUUUGACGAAAGACCACCUGGAGCUUCCCCUUGUAGUUUUGUGUAGUUUCGAUUACUUUAUGUGCCCACUGCUCGCCGUUUUGCUUAUGUAUUAAUUACAAACUCCUCAAUAAAUAGGGAUCGUCAUGAGUCCACAAAAGGGACAUCAUAAAGAGGAUUGAGAAAUACACAUAUUAAGAAGCCUUCAUCUCUGACGGUGAUCUGAAAGUCUUCAUCAUAUGAAGAAGCUUUUAUCUUUGACAGUGGUCUGAAAGUGUUCCGUAUAUGAAGAGUCUUACUCCGCAUUUAUAUAUAUCAAGAAGCCAUCCCUUCAAGUGGUGAUCAAGAAGUCCUCCAUAUAUCAAGAAGCUUUCUUCUCCGGUGACAUUUAUUUAGGAGAGCUGGAAGACUAACUUGGGAGACUGCGGCUUUUAAGGAGAAAUCUUCACAAUGUUCAAGAAAUUAACUAAGUGAGAAAUGUGGCGAAGGGUCUGGCCCUGCACGCCGUACAGGAAGCGCCUGCACUCACUGGUGCAUGCAAGACAAUUGUUUAAAGAACUAGGGCGACCACCUUAUCCACACGAGCUUUUGAAGAAGACACAUAUCAAGGCGAAUGAUGAGUUGUUCCCGAGAAGUCUCAGAGCACAUGUCGCAAUACGUGAAGAUCACACCUGCAUCUCAAUGUACAGAUGAAUUCAUUGAGGCUCCAACUAUUAUUUUUCACAAAUUUACUAGUAUGAAGUGGGUGGAGUUAAGAGGGCAUGCACUUAUGACCUUGAUUCUCAGGCAGCUUUCUAGGGGAAUGUUGGUGCAUCAUCCACAACUUCUCGGCUUCAAGAUCAUGAUUUUGAUGCUCGGGUGAAGGAAUGAAGAUGAUUUUUAUACCGUUUACGAGAGAUAGAGGAUGAUAUGAAGCAGGACAUUAGAGUAGAGAUGAGACAAGAAAUGAGAGAAGAAAUAAGACACGAAAUGCAGCAACAAGUGCAUGAGCAGGUUGCUAAGAUUCGCCAAGCCCGCCUGUCAAUUCUCACUGCAGGCCUACCUACAUUGCCACUUGUACACCGCUUCAAUUUAGACAUGAUACGCCAUCAAAUAUUGAUACGGGUCAUAGAUUUCUUUAACUCUUAUCUUAGACAGAUUUUACAUUGUUUUAUUUGAAAUUAUGGUUUAUAAAAAAACUGAUACUUUUG